AACGAACGCUGGCGGCGUGCUUAACACAUGCAAGUCGAACGCGAAAGGGACUUCGGUCCUGAGUAGAGUGGCGCACGGGUGAGUAACGCGUAAGUAAUCUACCCCUGUAUUCGGAAUAACCAACCGAAAGGUGAGCUAAUACCGGAUACGAUUAUCUUGAUGCUAAUGAUGAUAAAGAAAGGUGGCCUCUUCAUGAAAGCUACUGGACAGGGAUGAGCUUGCGUACCAUUAGCUAGUUGGUAGGGUAAUGGCCUACCAAGGCGACGAUGGUUAGCGGGUCUGAGAGGAUGAUCCGCCACACUGGAACUGGAACACGGACCAGACUCCUACGGGAGGCAGCAGUGAGGAAUAUUGCGCAAUGGGGGCAACCCUGACGCAGCGACGCCGCGUGGAUGAUGAAGGCCCUUGGGUCGUAAAAUCCUGUCAGAUGGAAAGAAAUGUAUAGCAGCUAAUAUCUGUUAUAUUUGACGGUACCAUCAAAGGAAGCACCGGCUAACUCCGUGCCAGCCGCCGCCGUAAGAC
rnacentral:rRNA from 1 species